rnacentral:rRNA from 1 species
AGUGAACGCUGGCGGUAGGCCUAACACAUGCAAGUCGAACGGCAGCACAGUAAGAGCUUGCUCUUACGGGUGGCGAGUGGCGGACGGGUGAGGAAUACAUCGGAAUCUACUUUUUCGUGGGGGAUAACGUAGGGAAACUUACGCUAAUACCGCAUACGACCUACGGGUGAAAGCAGGGGAUCUUCGGACCUUGCGCGAUUGAAUGAGCCGAUGUCGGAUUAGCUAGUUGGCGGGGUAAAGGCCCACCAAGGCGACGAUCCGUAGCUGGUCUGAGAGGAUGAUCAGCCCCACUGGACCUGAGACCCGUUCCAGCCUCCUACGGGAGGCAGCAGUGGGGAAUAUUGGACAGUGGGCGCAAGCCUGAUCCAGCCAUACCGCGUGGGUGAAGAAGGCCUUCGGGUUGUAAAGCCCUUUUGUUGGGAAAGAAAAGCAGCAGGUUAAUACCCCGCUGUUCUGACGGUACCCAAAGAAUAAGCACCGGCUAACUUCGU